CCUCCCGGACGUGUCUGUUUAGCCACUUCCCUCCACAGACUCCGCUUGGCCAUCCUGACCUCCCCAACACACAUCCACACUGACCUGGACUUUGGUUCCGAGCUGCCACCGCCACAGUCACCUCCACAGCCACCACCGUGGUGGCCCCUUCACGCCACUUUGCUCCAGCCUCCCCAACAGAAGUCAAGUGCACUCCGUGAACUCUUUGUGGCCAGGUCACGGCGUCGCGGACAGGCUGACUUUCCUGGAUCUUUUUUGGAUCUCCCCUUUUGCCAGAUUAUUUCUUUGCGCGAAGCUAAAUAUUUAAUCUAAAAAGAAAUGCACCCAAUUAAGAAUUCUUGAGAAGAAAUGUGCUUCACCUGUGGAUGUACACACCCUUGAUUAUUUGCAAACCUGUGAUUAUUUUGUAGAGAACUAUUUGUAGUGAGCGACAGGUUGAAGUAUUGUAUUUUGCAAAACGUGCUGAAAUAGUGGGAGUUCGUUCAGAGACCAUUUUUGUGCCACAAGAAAUAAAAGCAUUGCAGCUGUGGAAGGAGAUAGAGUCUUGGCAUCCUGGGUAGUUAAAUGUUUAUAGAAUGAAUGUGAUUAACACAUUUUUAAAAAUAUUUUAAAAAUGUAUAACUGCUAAACAUUUCUAAAAAGGGUAAUUUCCAUGCUUAUUGCCAAUAAAGGGUCAUUAGUUUU